rnacentral:rRNA from 1 species
UACGUAGGGUGCGAGCGUAAUCGGAAUUACUGGGCGUAAAGCGUGCGCAGGCGGUUUUGUAAGCCAGAUGUGAAAGCCCCGGGCUUAACCGUGGGAAUGGCAUUUGGGACUGCAAGGCUUGAGUGCGGCAGAGGAGACUGGAAUUCCUGGUGUAGCAGUGAAAUGCGUAGAUAUCAGGAGGAAUACCGAUGGCGAAGGCAGGUCUCUGGGCUGACACUGACGCUCAUGCACGAAAGCGUGGGGAGCAAACAGG